rnacentral:rRNA from 1 species
ACGGCGAGUGAAGCGGGAAGAGCUCAAAUUUGAAAUCUGGUGGCCUCAGGUCAUCCGAGUUGUAAUCUAUAGAAGUGUUUUCCGUGCUGGCUCAUGUACAAGUCCCUUGGAACAGGGCGUCAUAGAGGGUGAGAAUCCCGUCCUUGACAUGAACUACCAGUGCUCUGUGAUACAUUUUCAACGAGUCGAGUUGUUUGGGAAUGCAGCUCAAAAUGGGUGGUAAAUUCCAUCUAAAGCUAAAUAUUGGCGAGAGACCGAUAGCGAACAAGUACCGUGAGGGAAAGAUGAAAAGCACUUUGGAAAGAGAGUUAAACAGUAUGUGAAAUUGUUGAAAGGGAAACGAUUGAAGUCAGUCGUGCUCUUUGGAUUCAGCCCGGUUCUGCCGGUGUACUUCCUUUGAGUGGGGUCAACAUCAGUUUUGAUCGCUGGAUAAAGGCUGGAGGAACGUAGUACCCUCGGGUAAACUUAUAGCCUCCUGUCACAUACAGUGGUUGGGACUGAGGAACGCAGCACGCCUUUAUGGCCGGGAUUCGUCCACGUACGUG